GACGAACCGUGCAAACGUUGUUCGGAUUCACUGGGCUUAAAGCGCGCGUAGGCGGCCCGGUAAGUCCGCUCUGAAAGUCCAGGGCUCAACCCUGGAAAGCGGGUGGAUACUGCCGGGCUAGAAUCCGGAAGAGGCGAGUGGAAUUCCUGGUGUAGCGGUGGAAUGCGCAGAUAUCAGGAGGAACACCAAUAGCGAAGGCAGCUCGCUGGGACGGUAUUGACGCUGAGGCGCGAAAGCGUGGGGAGCAAACAGGAUUAGAAACCCUAGUAGU
rnacentral:rRNA from 1 species